rnacentral:rRNA from 1 species
UACGGGGGGGGCAAGCGUUGUUCGGAAUGACUGGGCGUAAAGGGCGCGUAGGCGGUAUUUUAAGUGAGGCGUGAAAGCCCCGGGCUUAACCCGGGAGGUGCGUUUCAUACUGGAAUGCUAGAGUGCGAGAGAGGAAAGUGGAAUUCCUAGUGUAGAGGUGAAAUUCGUAGAUAUUAGGAAGAACACCAGAGGCGAAGGCGGCUUUCUGGCUCGCAACUGACGCUGAGGCGCGAAAGCGUGGGGAGCAAACAGG